rnacentral:rRNA from 1 species
CCUUCGGGAACUCUGAGACAGGUGCUGCAUGGCUGUCGUCAGCUCGUGUUGUGAAAUGUGGUUAAGUCCGCAACGAGCGCAACCCUUAUCCUUGUUGCCAGCGGUCCGGCCGGGGAAACUCAAAGGAGACUGCCAGUGAUAAACUGGAGGAAGGUGGGGAUGACGUCAAGUCAUCAUGGCCCUUACGAGUAGGGCUACACACGUGCUACAAUGGCGCAUACAAAGAGAAGCGAACUCGCGAGAGCAAGCGGACCUCAUAAAGUGCGUCGUAGUCCGGAUUGGAGUCUGCAACUCGACUCCAUGAAGUCGGAAUCGCUAGUAAUCGUAGAUCAGAAUGCUACGGUGAAUACGUUCCCGGGCCUU